CGGUCUACUAGCGCCAUCCAGAUGAAAUGCGGAGGAACAUAAAGGAGAAGCCAGCCUCGCUGCCGCAGCUGGCUUGGAAGGCCAGCUCUGCGAGACAUGCCUUCGCCGGCGCCGGCACCGGUGACUUGAGCACGCACAUCUCUACUAGGGAUUUCAUCGGCCGUGGCAAUUCCUGCUGCACCGACGCAACUACACAUAGGCAGCGGCGGCGACACGACUCGGUGUCCGCGCUGUGCCAGAUACGCAAGAGAAAGAGGCCGGGCACAGCAGCUAGCUUGCACCACGUCGGCUCCAUCUAGAUGGAGGCCGAUCUGCUGUCUUGCGCAUGGUGCCACGGAUACACCAUGUUGUGCGUAUUACUGCAAAGGUGCCACGGUGAAGGUGACCAUCGGUCUCAAGAAGAUUAGAGGUUGCGCAGGCAACAACGCGCCGGAUCCUGAGUCUAGACCAUGUCUUCUGGACACACAUGGCUCCUAGGCGCGUACGUGAUGACCCGAAGCCAACGUGCAUACAUAGUGCACUUAUCCGUGCCUGCCAUACGCAUGCACGUAUGCAUGUAGAGAUCCAUGCAAGGAAGGCCACAAGCUAGGAUCGAGAUGGCGUUAAUCUCUCCCAUGGGUAAGAAACUAAUUUAGUUAUUGUUUCUUUAAAUAUUGCAUAUCAGCAUGCACCUUGGCUGGUGUCAUGGCUAGCCGAGAAGUGCCGGUGUCAGACUACGAGAGUCAUCAUGUCACAAGGACACGGAGUACCGACGGUGAGCUUCGGCUUGCCGGUGCCGGAUGUGCCCGUGUUACAGAGUCGGAGGCUCAGAGACAUGAAUGCGGCCGCCAAGACAGAGACAUGAGGAUACAACUACCACAAGAAGCAAGCAAGGUCCUGGUGUAUGUGUACAUGCAUGCACUGCCAUGCAUACACGUGCUACAUGGUCAGUCUGCGGCGCCGACACCUCCUACAGAGAAGAAGCAAGCAAGGCCUAGAUGUAUAUGCAUAUACGUACACAUACAGGCCAUGCUUGCGCAUGCCAUCUAGGGGCAGAUGCAAGUCUUCAUCCACUACUAAAGUUCAACCCCAUUGAUCAAGUUCCACGACAUACCACGACGAUGCUAUUGAAGAAGUCCAAAGCGAUCCAAGCUACACCAACCAUGCAAGUGCGACUGCGAUGACACCAUGUGUCGUUCGACACCGACGAGGCGAACGACGCAGCACUACCAAAAUAGUGGAAUUCUCCUAGUGUUUUUAAGUAGUUAUAAAAUACUACCACUAGUCAAAACACUAGGGAAUCCUACUAGGAGACAUUUAGUAGGGAAAGUUUAUACUAAAUUUUGAAUACUAAAACACUAGGAGAAGUCCACCUCACUAGCAGAAUUAGUAAAUUAUGGUUGUGCAGGCGGGCAUGGCUGAUAUUCUAGCCAUGUUGUAUGGGCUCACGGACCGACGAGGCCCUCAUGCCAACGUCACCUACAUCUACACCAACACCGCAUGGAGAAGUAAAGCGAAGAUCGACGACGAUGACCAAUGCAGCUUAAUCGGAGGUACUCUAUGAGCUUGACUCAUAGGGGUAAUUAACUGGGAGCUUUUCGAGGCCCCAGGAACCAUGAAGACCACGAUCGCCUAAGCUAGAUCGCUGCAAUCAGGCUAUGGAGCGCACACUGUACCAG
rnacentral:lncRNA from 1 species